AUACAUGUUAUAUCAACGGGUGUGCGUCCGUGUACGUGUUGUGUUGUGUAGUUCGCGUUAUUUUUAUUACACCUUCGAUAUUUUAGGUGCGUUUUAAAAUGAUUUAAAAUAGUUUUUAAUUAUUCACUAAUAGAUUAGUUUAAUAUUUAAAAUGCGCAAUACACUAAUAAGUCUCGUUUUUGUGUAUCAAUCCAUAUUUUUGAAGCAUUCAUAUUCAAAUUAAAAAUACACCACGUUGACCAUUUAACAUGAAUGAUAGUCAUAUUAAAAUGAACGUAACAUCGUGUGAUCUGGUAACUGCAGGAGCGCAUAUUACGAACAUAUACAUAAAUCAAACUUCGGAUAAUUUAAAUGAAAAAUCAUUAGAUGCUAAAUUACUCGUCAAUGUACCUGUUGAGUUUAACACAACUAAUUCUACGUUUACGUCAAAAGAGUCCCCAUCGCUGAGCUCUAGCAGCGUUAAUAGUGCGGUCGGUAGGGAUGCUGUGGUAAAUAUCUUAAAUAGCGUAACUCCAUGUGAAUAUUCUAAAGUCGUUCAUUCGUCUCAGUUGAUACUAGAUAAUAAUGGAUCAUAUUCAUGUCACAUAUGUGUUAAUGAUAAUACCGCUCUGAAUUCAGUAUGCGAGAAUUUUAACAGUGAUGCGAUUCAUCCAUUAUGCAACACUGAAACAAAUUAUAGUUAUUUUUCGUCAGAUGACGAUGAUGGUUAUUGUGCAUAUUCUAUUGCUGAUAUCAGUGAUAUCGAUGAGUUAUCAGACAAUAUUUUAAGUGAUCAUCAAUCUAGCCCUCUUAGGGAACAAACAGAGUUACAAAUUAUUGGUUCUAGUCAUGACUAUAAUUCCAGUUGUGAUUCUGAAGCCGAUGGAAUUGUAACGUUUCUGGACAAACGUAAUAAUGAAGCGGAAGCUCGUUUGGCUGCAAGACGUCAAGCCCGUGCUGAAGCUAGAGAAAUUCGUAUGCGAGAAAUUGAACGACAACAAAAAGAAGCUGAGGAAAAUGCAGAUAAAGCUUUUGAUAUGCAUGCUGCAGAUGGACCUAUCAUAAAUCGAGUAUCACGAGCAGCUGCAAGUACUGCCAGCCCUAGAACAGCUAGUUCAUUACAUAAUACUAACAGUUACCAAUCUAGUCGACGUAAUUCGGUUGAUUCUCUUGAUGAAUCUACUCCUAACUUUCGAGAUUUUAGGAUGGAAUUAAAAGACUUAGAAGAAAAGUUUCGUAAAGCUAUGGUACAAAAUGCUCAACUUGACAAUGAAAAAGCAGCUGUGACAUAUAUGGUAGAAUUGUACAAAGACAAGUAUACUGAUAUUGAAGAAGAACUUAUGCAUAUAAAAAGAGAACAUAAAGAAAGUUGUAGAGAAAACGAAAAAUUAAAACGUUUAUUGGCUACUCAAAAACUAGAAUCUAUAACACUUCAACAAGAACUAGAAGAACGUGAUAAACUCAUUGAGGAAAAAGGAUUAGUUAUUAUCAGCACAGAACAAGAAUGUUGGAGUGAGAGUGAUCAAUGUAAUAGUAAAAUAAAACGUGCCUUAGUCUCUGUUGAAAAUGCUCAAUUGUUACAAGAUGCAGGAGAAGGUUGUUUAGAUGUACGACUCAAAAAAUUUACCGAAGAACGCAACAGCUAUAUAGACGAAAUUAACAGGCUCAAAUUAGAGUUGCAAGAGGCCAAACGUCAUAGUGAUAACCAUUAUAAUGGUACAGACUCUGACGAUUUGGAAGAUGCCCAAAAAGAAACUAAUAAAGUUCUUGGUGAUUAUAAAUUCAAAUGGCAAAAGGCUGAACAAGAUAUUUCUACAUUACAAGCUAAUGUUGCUAGACUUGAGAGUCAAGUGAUUAGAUAUAAAACAGCUUCUGAAGCAUCUGAAAAAGCUGAAGAUGAAUUGAAAUUGGAAAAACGAAAACUACAGCGUGAGCUUCGAGAAGCUCAAGCAAAAGUUGAAGAAUUGGAGACAUCCAACAUGCAUUUAUUAAAACGCUUUGACAAGUUAAAGAAUGCCAAAUCCAGUUUACUAAAAGAUUUAUAAUAGACAAUCUUAUUCACAAUCGAACAAAACUAAGAGUAAUAAUUUAUCUUAGCUUAAACGCGAUAUUUUGUGCAAUAAAAUCUACAUUCAUCAUCAGUGUCACAUCAGACAAUUGAUAAUGGGAAGAUGUGCAAAACAGGACAAGAAACAUAAAAUAAUUAAAAAUAUAAUUUAGAAUAUAAUUUUUGAAUCAUUAAAUUUAUAUUAAUAAAUAUUUAAUAACAAAAUACUAAUAAUUAUAGCAAAAUAUAAUUACCGUGUAAAAAUUGUUUUAUUUUAAUUGAAAUUACAAUCUAACAUUAUCAUUUUAUAAAUGUUUUAUUUUAUAUUUAUUAAGUAUAUUUAAUUAUUAUUUUAUUUUGAAAUAAUAAAAUUCUUUAUUUUUGUUGAUUUGACUAUUGUUCCAAAGCUAUCAACCAAUAACCCAACUUUUAUUGAUGGUAAAUGUUUUUUAUUAUUAGUUCUUCUAUAUUAGUUGAACCUUGUUAAACCAAAAUAAGUGGUAUUCACUGUAUUUAUAUAAUUUAUUAUUGAACAAUUUGUCUAGUUUAUUUUCUACCAACUAACUAUAAAUUUUAAAUUUAUUUUACCUAAAUUUAAAUUAUUAUAAAUUAUAAAGAAACAUUUAUCUCCUUAUCACUAUUGUGUUUACAUGAACAUUUUAAUUAUUAACAGAACUUGUAUGUAUACUGUAUUUAUUUUAUUAUUAUUAUUAUUAUUAUUAUUAUUUUAGUUAAACUAGUAUAUUUACUCUGUAAAUAGGUAUCACAUGUAAAUGAAACUUAUCUAUAUUUCUCUUAACAAGAUAAAAUUACCAAUGGUUUACUUUAUAUUAGAAAAUGUAAUCAUUUGAGUAUUUUUUUAAAAAAUAUUCUCAUAAAUGUUCCUAUCUGAUUCAUAGUCGAUUAUCCAAUAUUUUAAAGUUAAAGUUUGUAAUUCUAAAAAUGUAUUAUAUUGAUUUGAAUUUUGAGACAAAAUUUAAAAUCAAAACCACAAGACACGGUAAUUUUAUUUUGUUAUUCAUGUAAUUUCAAAGAAAAAUUUAUUUACUAAACUCAGUUUCAUAUAAAAGUAAACUCGGGCAGAUGGCUUUGCCUAAGCUAAUAUGUAAUUUUGUACUUCAUUAUUUUCACAACUGCCAACCUUGUGUUUUGUUUAGUUAAGUACAUUAUAACAAUUUUUUACUAUGGUGAAUAAAAAUUAAUUUUUUAAGAGAUGAAGUGAUCUGAUCAAACCUGACUGACCUGAGACUACUCUUAUAUGAGAUAGAGUGUACAUCUAUGUAGUUAGAAUUAUGAAAUAUAAAUUAUUACAGAUAACAUUUUGUAUUCAUUAAAAAAAUAAUAAUAACAACAAUCGUUUAGUUUUUAGUUUACUUAUCUAAUUUUUAUCUUUAUAUUCAAUUAAAAUUAAAAUUGAUAUUUAAAAAAGUAACAAAGUAAUUUAUAAUUAUUUUCUUUUAAUAUAUUUUUUAUAUUAAAUUAAAAUAGAAACAUUAACUUGUCAGUAAAGAUAUAUGGUUCUAGCAAUGACUUAUACUACAUAUUAUACCUAUGAUUAUAGAAUAUACUGAUAAGUGUAAAUCUUCAAAACAUUAGUAUCAGAUCCAGAUAUUCAAGGGGAGGGGCAAAUUCUCAAAAAUUAAACUAUGUUUUUCUUUUUAAUAUGUAUUAGGGGCUAAUUAUUUACAUUAUUUUCCUUAAUUUUCCUAAAAAUAUGUUAAUGUUUAUUUUAACAAUUAAUUUACAAUAUAGAAUAUUUUUCCUGGAAAAUCAAGAACAGAAAAAAUCGCAACUAACAUUAUUUAUAUAAUAAGUAGUUGUAUAAUAAAAAAAAUAUUGACAGUAGACCCAAGAUAAGAAUAUAAAAUUAAAGUAAUAAAUAUCCUUAAUGGGUGGGGAUGGGGUCACCGCAUCAUUCCUUUUGGUAUCUGAAACUGAAACUGAAAAACAAAGCGACUAGAUUAAUCUGUUAGUGAACGGAAUUAACUUUAUACCACAGUUGGCACAAUUUAUCUGUAUAUUCUAAAAUCAAUGAUACCUAUUUACUUAAGUUAAAUGAUAUGACUAAUAAACCAAUUUUACACAUCUU